AGGAUGAACGCUGGCGGCGUGCCUAAUACAUGCAAGUCGAGCGGUAACACUUCGGGUGACGAGCGGCGGACGGCUGAGUAACACGUAGGAAUCUACCCCGAACUGAGGGAUAAGCACCAGAAAUGGUGUCUAAUACCGCAUACCGUCUACGGACGAAAGCUUCGGCGGUUUGGGAAGAGCCUGCGUCCGAUUAGCUAGUUGGUGAGGUAAUAGCUCACCAAGGCGACGAUCGGUAGCUGGUCUGAGAGGAUGACCAGCCAGACUGGGACUGAGAACGGCCCAGACUCCUACGGGAGGCAGCAGUAGGGAAUUUUCCACAAUGGGCGAAAGCCUGAUGGAGCAACGCCGCGUGCAGGAUGAAUGCCUUCGGGUUGUAACUGCUUUUAUAUGUGACGAUUAUGACGGUAGCAUAUGAAUAAGGAUCGGCUAACUCCGUGCCAGCAGCCGC
rnacentral:rRNA from 1 species